GAAGCUAAUUUAAGAUCUCCAUCCAACUCUAAGAUAGGGUAACUGCCAGAAGACCCUCAUGAUCCCAAAGCCGGAUUUUGCCCUAGUAUAAUGGGUUCAUAUUUGAUUGGCUGCACUUAGCUAUAAAUCCUGAGAAGAAGAAGAAGAAAGACAUCAGAAAAUAAUUGGGCUAGAAAAACCUUAGUUUGAAAGCAAAACACAGAAUCCAGGUAAGUGGGCUUACUGGGAAAGGCUUAUGCCACGUUGCUCCCACAAUGGAGGGCCUUAUGAUGGCGAUGGUUAGGCUCCUGCUCUCCUGCUGCACCAUCAUUUCUCCCAAGGCCUUGGUGGAGGCGUAAGUAUUGGGCCAAUCUCCGAUCUGCUUGGGUGUGAUCUCGUCAGUAACAGCAUUGUCUGUACAUAAAAGGUAGAGUAAAAAGAAUUCUAGCAACAUGUGUUAGACAAUAGACCAAAAGGAAAAUGUGAGACACAGUCAAACAAAACUUCCACCCUUUAGCCAUGGUUCUCGAAUUCAGAACAGUCACAUGAUACCAAGUUUGAGUGUAUACCUGCUCAAAGUAUGCAUGAGCUCUUUUCACUGCUAAGCCCAAUCUUAUCAGUCAAAUCCUGUGUCCUCCCAUCCAGACAGGUAGGUAGGUAGACGGAUAGAUUCAAUAGCAAUGCCACUUUAUUACUACUACUAGUGUAGGGCUAUUAGUACUACUUUAUUAGUACUACUUUAGCGCUUUUACUUUACCAGUACUGAUUAUUCUGUAGUAGUACUAAUUUGAGGUAAUUACAUACAACCUCUUUACUUCCUCUCCAACAAGCUCAUAAGUACAUUCAUUGCACACAUUUUUGAGUCCCAGUCAUUCUCCCAGUAGUGUGCUGGAUGCUGUGUUCAGGGAGCUUGAGGCUCUCAUCCAAGGUGUUUCAGCGGCAGCCCUGUUCAGUGUUAUCCCACAGAAACCCAGUGCAGUGAUCCUGAAGACUUUAGCUUUACAUUUUAAAAAUUUCAUUCAAGGCAAAUCAAAUCAAAGUGACUACUUUUGGCAGACUGACAAUCUGUUUUGCCAAUACUAUGUAAUGCAUUUUGAAGGUCUGUUUACAGCCUAUGAUAAUAACUUGCUAAUUAUUUCCAGAGGUUUUCAACAAAUUCUGAAGUCUGUCAAGUGGGGUGAUUAUAGCACUCUGGAACAACUUCAAAAUCAUGAAUAUUGAAUACUCCUACUUACAAGAUGACAUGUAUCAUGAAUAACUUGAGUUACCAUAGCAUCAGCCUAAUCUUUCUUAAAAAUAUGUCAGAACCAGCUGGGCACAGUGGCUCACACCUGUAAUCCCAGCACUUUGGGAGGCCGUGGCGGGCAGAUCACGAGGUCAGAAGAUUGAGACCAUUCUAGCCAACAUGGUUAAACCCCGUCUCUAUUAAAAAUACAAAAAUUAGCUGGGCAUGGUGGUGUGUGCCCGUAAUCCCAGCUAUUCAGGAGGCUGAGGCAGGAGAAUCACUUGAACCAGGGAACAGAGGUUGCAGUGAGCUGAGAUUGUGCCACUGCACUCCAGCCUGGUGACAGAGCAAGACUCCAUCUCAAAAAAAAAAAA
ensembl:lncRNA